AUGCUGACUUGCUGCCUCUGUCCGAUGAGGAAAAGGAGGCCAUAGAUUGCAUCAAAGCCGACGGCAUCAGCAAUGAAAUGGUAAGAGCAGCCAUCUCCAUCUUGGCUGUUCCUGCACCUCCAGACAGUCCCUCUGGCUCUGCCUUCAGGCUGCAUGAGGGCUGCUGGCCGGGCAGAGCUGCUGCUGUCCUGCAGCUGUCCUGUGCUGCUCCACACCCCGCAACGCCUGGUCCCCCUGGCCAUGGUUGUCCCCACUCACACUCCUCGGUCUCUGUGUGCUUGCCAGGAUCUGGUGCAGAAGCUGCAGUACCUGAACUGUAUUUGCUCACUGUGCAGCGCUGCUGAACAGAAGGGCUUGACAGUGUACCUGGAUAUCUUCUGCUUCCUAAACAAUGUGACAGAGAACAUUGAGGUUCUGUUGUGUGAGGAGCCCAUGGAGCAGCUGAGCACCGGCCUGAGAUACUGCUGCAUGAACACCAUUGCUGCCUUGAGCACAGUGAAUGCAGUUACGGAGGAAGAAAUACUCCAUCUCUUCAAGGUGUGCUGCAGCGUCGUCUUCUAUCUUCCUCCAGCCAGGGCCUUGAACAUUUCCCUCUACAACCAGACCCUGGAAGCUAUGGACGACAUGCUGCAGACUGUGCUAGAUGUCUGUCCCAUUGCCAGUGUCAAGAGUCGGCUGCAGGGAAUCUUGGAGGUGCUGCUGCCUUUCAGCAUCUCCAAGACACAGGCUGUGUGUGAGAGGGCUUUGGGGCGCAUCUGGAAGCUUAGUGGCUUCAUGACCAGCAGUUUCUGGCAGCAGCCCCUUGGAAAAAACCUUGCCCCUUCUCAGAGGACAGACAUUGCCCUUGUAACCCUGGAGAAGAUCAUUGGGGACUACGGUUUUGAUGAGAAGAAGUGGGCUGAGACUAUGCUGGAUGUGCUUCGGAGAACCCUGGCACCUGGCUGA
rnacentral:lncRNA from 1 species